rnacentral:rRNA from 1 species
UACGUAGGGGGCGAGCGUUGUCCGGAUUUAUUGGGCGUAAAGAGCUCGUAGGCGGUCUGUCGCGUCGGUCGUGAAAACUUGGGGCUUAACCCUGAGCUUGCGGUCGAUACGGGCAUGACUGGAGUUCGGCAGGGGAGACUGGAAUUCCUGGUGUAGCGGUGAAAUGCGCAGAUAUCAGGAGGAACACCGGUGGCGAAGGCGGGUCUCUGGGCCGAUACUGACGCUGAGGUGCGAAAGUGCGGGGAGCAAACAGG